GUAAAGAGAUUUACAUUGUACCCGCACUCGUAAAGAUGGAACAAUUGUCAAUGAAAAGGCUGCAAGAUUGAUUGAAGAACUAAAAAAACAUAAUAAUGAGGCUGGAACUUCUCAAUCAACCCAAGACACACAAGGGUCUAUGUCUUGGAAGGAUGAUAUAUUUUAUCAAGUACAAGGACCUGAUAAAAACGGACGUGUGCGAUGUAUGGGCAAGAUUCCUCAUUCUAAAAAAUCGAAGGUUUGUGCAUCUGAAAAUGAAGAGUUGCGCGAAAGAGUUAAGAAUAUGGAAAACUUGUUAGCAAAUGUGAUGACUUUAAUUCAAAAUCGAUUUUCUGGAGCAGAUGUUAAUGAUAUAAUACAAGCUGCAAGACAGGUAUAUCAUAAGUUAUUAA